AGUACGGUGGCUCGGAGGCAGCCAGAGACUUUCCACGCUCUUUUCAUUUUUCAUGUCAGGGUACCACACUGUAGCUCAGCGUCGCCAGGCUGGCCAAUACUACCUCAGUUUCCCAAGUUUGGAGAUUACAUGUUCUGUUUGUUUUCUUUUUUAAAAAACAAUAAAUUUAGUAUAAAGUAAUGGUAGUUGGAGGUAACGUACAAAGUAGAGGUGCUACGCCAAGAUGAAGCGCCACAAUAAGGCCAUCCUGUGUCUGCUGGUUCUUCAUGCACACACCAAUUAUUAGGUGAGGGGUUGGUAUUGGGCCUUCCGUUGCAAUGUUAGGUGUCCAUUUUGUAAUGAGCCCCAUUGGGGAGUUCGACCACUUCCUUGAUCUGUCAGAUCUGAUUGAUCCCCUUUCUGCUCUCAGAAACAAGCCACCUAUCAGUCUGUAAACAAACAAACAAACAAACAAAAAACUAGAUGGUUCCUGGCAGAUGGUGCUGUUUCUGGUGUACCCGGAGGCUGCAGUCAUCUCCCUCAAAAUGGACUUAGAAGCUGUUUGUAGGGUGGUGUUUCCAGAGGCAAGCAGAUUUACCUGGGGACUGCAUGCAUGCUAAGUCCAUGGUUGUCACAUGACCUUGUGGAAACUGCUGCACAACAGGAGCUCUGGAGUCAGGUGUUGUCUCAAGUUCCUGAUCUUCCUCAGACUUGUCAGUGCUAGGAUUAUAGGAAUGCAGUAGCAUGGUGCCUUUCCUUUGGAAAGAGUAUCUUACUUUAUGCCUAAGAAAUUCCAUGGCUAGGUGUUACUAAUAAUUAUGGCUGCUUGCGACCACUGCAUUUCUAAUAGAAAACUGUUCAUCUGGGGCUGGGUAUUAGUGGGGAAAAUGUUUGUUUGCUAUGCAUACAAACCUGGGGUUGAUCCUCGGUGUUGCAGGGAGAGAAAAGCUAUGCUAGUAUUAUUCAUAAUAUUCAUGAUAUCUUUAUGCUGGGAGCAAUCCAAGAGCUGGUGAGAAGCAGAGUGCCUUAGCUAAAUUGGGGAAUAUUUACACAACAGGACACAAAGCAAAAAUGUCUCGAAACAACAAAACCCCACAAUUAAAAAAAAA